GCCUGCCACCUCCUCCACCUCCCCUUCUUGAGGAUCCUGACACAGGUUUGCUGCAGCAAGUCAGAUAUGAUUCUUCCCUAUUCGGGGCCCCCCACGGCUCUUCUGGGCUAGGGCAGGUUUGCCGCAGUAGGUACUUGCCGCUGAAUGGAAGGCCCACCUCAGCCCCCCACAUCUCAGUAUAAAUAAUGCGUGCGCUGGAGAGGAAUAGCAACCAGACUGCUUGGGUUUUGCCAUGUCUUCUCUUGCAUAAGAUUGGUCGUGGAGGAAAGGCACCCUCUGAAGAUGAGAGUGCUGGAGAGAGCGUUGUGCGCUGUGGUUGAGAAGAGUGCGCUGGUGGGGAGAGGAGACUGAUGGGCAAGAACGCUGCAGCAGGCUCGUCCUGCAGCUGUAAAUGGCACAGGACUGGAGCUCUUGAAUUCCAGUUCUAGGCAGGGGAGCGUGGGUGUUGGAUGAAAGGUUUAGUCCUGUGUUACAUACAGGACUAAAGUAUAGUCCUGAGUAAAGUGUCUGAAACAAGAAGCAUGUGACCACCUGGGCACAUCAUUUUUCUACCUGAGUGGUACUUGGUGUACUAAAGAGAUUAUGGGAUGCAGCACACUUAGACAAGGUGGAAGAAUCUGAGUGGGUCUCAUCACGUUGGAGUUGGUUUUUAUGGGAUAUGGAAAAGAGGCCCGGAUUUCUUCUGAGAGCAGGAGUAGCUGAGGAGCCCCGUGGCAGCAGAGCUCGUGAACUACACUUGUGUGAGAAGACAGGCUGUGAUUCCUUCCUCUGACGCCUGCUCUUACAAUAGGCGUCCCUGCGAGAAGAGUCACCCAGUGGCAUCAAGAGCUCUGGGCAGGAUCCGUCCACUUCCAGAGUGGCCUGAAGAGUGGAACACAUUUCUUUUUAGUUAAAUGAGUUUCUUCGAUAUGGCUCAUUCAUUCGGCACAUGUGCUGGGUGCCUACUGUUUGCUGGACACUGCGGAGCCUGGUGGAUGCUGGGGGAAGCAGAUGGGUCUGGUCCUGGCCUCCAGGAGCUUACUAGUUAAAUGUGGGAGUCAUUGCUAAUCAUUUACACUGUGUGAGGAGCUCUCAUUGCGGGUGGGAGACUGAUUGCCUGCAGUAAUGGGGAGAGGAUAUGCCUGGUUCCCUCCUCUCACUCCUUGCUUGGACUUUUGUCUUUACAACUUGAACUAAGUAUUCUCCAUUUGACCUUUUUCCUGCCUCAUUAUUCUUCCCAGACAUUCUCUAGCUUCUACUUUCUGCCUCUUCAGGUGUGCAUCAGGGAUCUGGUAUCAAGGAAUUUAGAACUUGAAAAGAAGUGUUAUGGUCCAGUUCCCUCACUUUCAGAUAUGGAAGAAGGGAACACAUCCACGGUCACACAGCAG